GAAUUAUAAGGACAAAUUCACCAGAUGUUCAGCUGAACUGGACGUCGGCUGAGGAGGGGAAGAAACGGGGUAGGCAGAUGGGCGUCACAUGACCCUGUAAGGAGAGAGGCGCCUAUCGUGGCCGCCAAGAGGGCCCCGGACUCAUGGACGAUCUACAACCCCCGGACUGCACACAUCCAAAGGUUGUAGGGUGAGAUGUAAGACGGCCGCUCACCUGCAGCAGGAUAUAUAUGUGCUGUAUACCUGAGGAGACGAUCACAGUAUAUAGGAAGACCCCAGAACAAGCCUGCUGGACCUAGAAGCUGCAAUCAGACCGCAGAGAUGUCUCCGCUCGCUGCGUUCCAGGCACUACGAUGCAGCAGUCUCUCUCCGCUGGAACCUCUGGAGAACGGGGAUGACCGGCGCCUCCGAGAAGCCAUAAAACUCCCACUUUUCUUUGCUUCUAUUAAAAACAGGAGC